GACGAACGCUGGCGGCGUGCUUAACACAUGCAAGUCGAACGGAAAGGCCCUGCUUUUGUGGGGUGCUCGAGUGGCGAACGUGUGAGUAACACGUGAGUAACCUUCCCUUUACUUUGGGAUAACUUCAGGAAACUUGUUCUAAUACCUGAUAGGAGCUCCUGCUGCAUGGUGGUGGUUGGUAAGUUUCGUCGGUUGGGGAUGGACUCGCGGCUUAUCAUCUUUUUUGUGUGGUAGUGGCUUACCAAGGCUUUGACGGGUAGCCGGCCUGAGAGGGUGACCGGCAAAAUUGGGACUGAGAUACGGCACAGACUACUACGGGAGGCAGCAGUGGGGAAUAUAGCACAAUGGGAGGAAGCAUGAUGCAGAAAAGCAGCGUGCGGGAUGACGGCCUUCGGGUUGUAAACCGAUUUCGCAUGUGACGAAGCGUGAGUGACGGUAAUGGGUAAAGAAGCACCGGCUAACUACGUG
rnacentral:rRNA from 1 species